CUUUGGGGCAUUUAAUUAUAAGAAACAUACAUACAAUUAUCUGUUAAAUGUGGAUGUUUUGUCACCUGCUUUCAUUUCAAUAAAUGUGCAAAUAAUUGAAUGUUUCAGCAAAAAUCAGAGAUUAGACAAAAACUGCGUUUAAUGAUGUCACAUCCCCUCAGACGUUUCUGCUGCUCCCAUUGGAUGUUGGAAGUCACAUGACUGCUGGAUGAGGAAGUAUCUGGAAGAACAGGUGUAUAAGUGAGGCAGCAUGGGGAGUUUUCAGCUCGCUAUACCUGGACGUUUCUGCUGCUCCCAUUGGAUGUUGGAAGUCACAUGACUGCUGGAUGAGGAAGUAUCUGGAAGAACAGGUGUAUAAGUGAGGCAGCAUGGGGAGUUUUCAGCUCGCUAUACCUGGAAAUUCAAACUUCCAGCAGCUACAUGAGCAACAAGCUGCUGAUGCUCAUGUGCUUUUACUGGAGCAGGAAUUUUAUUGAAGAAAUUCUACCUUCCAGCAGCUACAGCAGCAACAAGCUGCUGAUACUCGUGAUUUUACUUGAGCAGCAGUUUUAGUGAAGAAAUUCAAACUUCCAGCAGCUACGACGGCAAAAAGCUGCUGAUACUCAUGGUUUUACUGGAGCGGGAGUUUUAUUGAAGCCUACAGGUUAUUGUGAAGAAAAAGGAAGUUAUCAAGCCAAUUUCAUAAAGAAAUUCAAACUUCCAGCGGCUACAACAGCAACAAGCUGCUGAUGCUCAUGUGCUUUUACUGGAGCAGGAGUUAUAUUGAAGUGUAAUCUGUUACCAGGAGCGUCCAGAUGGAGGCGGUGUGGCUCUUCCCUCAGAGCAGACAUGACUCACCACAGCUGACUCGUGCUGCAGCAUCACUUCAUUAUCUCAUUCACAAAAAAAAAAAAAAAAAUACAACCAUUAACUCCUCGGCGGGGCACUUGUGAGGAAUAUCAACUAAAUGAAAGGCUGCGAGAGCCAUAAAAGCAGCGCAAUCACAUCGAGCUACUUAAUUUGAUGGACUAUUUUAUCUGGAUACGCUGCAUUUAUUGUAUCUCCAUUAAAAGGUCAUGUUGGCUCUAAAUCAAGACGCUUAAUGGCCUGAGCAUUUGCCAACAGUAAGGGGAGAAAAAUAGCAAUUGUUAGAAGACAAACAGCCAGCACUGUUAAAAUAAUUGAAAGUAAUGAAAAGGAUUGGACGAUAGAAAACUUUAAGUCAAUAUAGUAUAUAAGCCCCAUUCAUAUGCAUUUCCAUAAUAGUAGCAGGUUUAUUUGCAUAUUUAAAAGAUAUAGAAAUGGGUGUCUUUCCAAUAUAUUCCUAAUAUUAAUAUCUGCAGAGAAAUUUAUUAGUAAAAAGUAAAAUUUCCCAGCUUUAGUGUCUAUUUUCUAAAUCAACAAAUUGAACUAAAAAGUUUCAGAAAAUAUGAAAAAAAUACAAUAAACCUCACAAUAAAUUGAUUUUUUUUCCCCAAGUUUUUGAAAUAAUCAGUUGAGCUGCAGAAAUCAUCAAAUUCAACAAUAGAUGUGAAGAAAUGACAUGAAAUCUCACAAUUUCUGGCAAUUUAUUCCAAAAAACCUCUAGGAUUUUUCAACUUAACUGUGUGUUUUCUGAAGCAAUCGAACCACUGAGCUGCAGAAAUCCUCAAACUGAACAUAAAAGUUUCAGAAAAUGUGAAAAACUAACAUUCAAUAUCUACAUUUGUUGAGAGAUUUAAUGUAAUUUCUAGCAAUUUAUCAUUAAAAAGCAGGAAUUCUUAACUUUGGUGACUGUUUUAAAUAUUAAUCAAACUUCUGAGCUGCAAAAAUCACCAAAUUGUACAAGAAAGUUUCAGUUAAUAUGAAGAAAUUACAUUAAAUAUCACUGUUUCUUUUGAAAUUUAAUGACAUUUCUAGCAAUUUAUUUUAAAAGGCUAUAUUUUUUCAAGUUUAGUGUCUGUUUAAGGAAUCAAUCAAACUUCUGAGCUGCAAA
ensembl:lncRNA